AAGCGCUUGCAGUCAGACUUGCCCGUAGUUGCUCACCUAGGCUUUUGCCUGGGGCACUCUUCUGCGGGCAGGCCAGCAUCAGUUUGGGCGGCCGGACAAAGACCUCUGUCAUGUAUCUUCCUUCGGGAUGACCUUAUAGGGGAGGUGUAAUGCGGCCAGCCCGGACUGAGGUCCGCGCUUUUGCUAGGAUGCUGGCGUAAUGGCUGUAAGCGG
rnacentral:rRNA from 1 species